AGCCCUAAGGAGUAAUUUUGGGUGAAGCCUGCCCCAUGACUAAGUUAAAUGGCCGCGGUACUCUGACCGUGCUAAGGUAGCAUAAUCAAUUGGCUUUUAAAUGGAGUCUGGAAUGAAAGGAAAUACGGAGUAAAGCUGUCUCUAGACCUUUAUUAUGAAUUUACUAAUUAGGUGAAAAGGCCUAAGAAAGAAAAAAGACGAGAAGACCCUUAGAGUUUUCUUAUUUUGUUGGGGCGACACAGAGUCAAGAUGAACACUCUGAAUUUUAUGGGACGGAUUUAUCA
rnacentral:rRNA from 1 species